rnacentral:tRNA from 1 species
CGCACGGUGGAGAAGGCUGGUCAUCUCGUGAGCGUCGUGAGCUUAAGAUCGCAGGUUCAAAUCCUGCCCGUGCUA